rnacentral:rRNA from 1 species
AUGCGGUGGGUCCCAGUAAAAAAAUCAUCACUCCCCGCAUCUGGAUCGCAUCGCUCCCCGCAUCCCUUCUCGCUCCCCGCAUCGCAUCUCGCUCCCCGUCGCCGCCGUUCGCUCCCCGCCGUCUGCCCCCGUCCUCCGCCCUUCGGCCCCGCCCUCCGCCCCCGUCCUCCACCCUCCGCCCUCCGCCCUCCGGCCCCAUUCUCCGCCCUCUUCCCUCUGCCCUCAUCCUCCGCCCCUCCGCCCCCUGCCUCUGCCCCUCCGCUCCUCCCGUUCCCGUCCAACAGCGGCGCCCCCAGGCGCGCACUCCGGCGGCCGCCGCACCGGUCGCCCAACCUGCCAUGGAUGGCGACGGCCUCGAAGGGAGAUGGAUGGGCGAAUCCGUCGCCAUCCUUCGUUUGGCAACUGAACUUUGGCGGCUCCUCGACAGCGGCAGCCGAUCGCGGAGGAGGAAAUGAUGGCAUGUUCCUCAGCGGGUCGUCCAUGGGGGCAGGCGGCGGCUCCUCAUCAGUGGGUGCCGGGCGCGGAGCAGGCGGCGUCGUUUGGCAGCGAGCCAACUCAGCCGCCGCGGCACCCGGCCGCCGUAACCAGCGCACCGGCACGACGAGCCAUGGCAGUGGUGGCGGCUAUCGCAUACCGCCUCCCCGGGCGCCGCGGAGUGCCCUCCGUGGGCAAGUAUCCGGCUCCGGCACUCCCUUUGACAAUGGUGAUGAAGAAUUGGAGGACGAUGUGGAGGAGUUAGCGAGCUCCAGAGGUCCCCUGCAACGUGAAGCAGGAACGUAUAAUGGUACAGUGAUGAGUGGUGAAGGGUACCAAGCCAUUAUCGACGGCUUACUUGCUAGAAGGGGGUUGGUAUAUAGCCGUUUGCAGGUGAAGAACCAUAUAGUCGUACUCAAAAACACUUACACUUUCUGGCGAUACAUGCAAGUGCAUAUAGGGUUGGGGAGGAAACCAGAUGGAACCAUUGAUGUCGACUCUGAGUUCUGGAUAACACACACAGAGAAGAAACCAUACCUACGGAAGUUGCAGUGGGGUCCUCCAGCAAAUGAGGAGUUGCUUGAUCAAUUGUUCAGAGGUUACACUGUGGAUGGAAGCACAGCCUUUGUGCCUGGAGAUGAUUACGGUCAGAAUCAAGGGCAAGAUUUAGGUGCAGGAGAGGAAGAGGAGGAGUUUCAAGGAACACCUACAAGCAACCAGAGGAGCCAGAGAUGCAAGAGGUCAACAAGCACUUCGAGCACUUUGACCAGUCCAUUGAAGAAGAGCAAGAGCCCAAUGGUGAAGAUUGUGAAGGACAUAGCUAGUACCCUCAAGGAGUCUGUCGCAGCUUGUUGA